rnacentral:lncRNA from 1 species
CAAGCACCAGCUGAGCACUUAGCUAGCCCAGGCUCCUUUCUCAGCACCACUGAGGGCAGCAAGAACUUGGUGUGAUGCUGGCAACAGUGAGGAUGGGGUGCGAUUUGGUUAAUGGCUACGGUAACUUGGCAUGCAGUGCUUUGGACCAAGAGUGACUGGGGACCCCUCUCCCCUCUGUCCCUCCCCAGGCCAUCCACAUUGUCACUGGAAUCAUACGCUUCUGCUCUGGGAUCAUCCUGACCACGGCAGAGCGUGAUAUCCCUUCCAUCACUGUGGCCAGUGGGGUCCUCUUCUGGCUUGGACUCCUGCUCCUGGUCACAGGGUCUCUGCUGGUGGAAAGUGGAAAAAGAGAGAACAUCCUGCUGGUGAAGACCUGCUGCAUCUUCAGCACUGGGGUCGUUCUGAGCACCCUGGUGGCCACCAUUGUCCAUGCCACGGCUAUCACUACGAACCUUCCCGGGUGCGAGCACAACUGGCCUCACCAGCUGAGAGGGGAAGACUGCUUCUACACUGACAGAAAGAUCCUGAGCGACGGCUUGAACUUGACGUUCAUCAUCUUUUGCCUCCUGGAGUUCUGCAUAGCAGUGGCAGCCCUGACGUUCGGUUAUGCCGCCAUCAAGCAGCACAACUACAAGCACAUGGUUUUGUAACAUCAGCAGAGCCGGCGUCCUUCCCCACCAGGCCAAGACGGGCGUGCCUACCCACCCCUGUUGUCCCCCCGCCACGCCAAUGUGUUGGAGCCGCAGAAGCGGCUGCAGCGGUGGCACUGGGAGGCGGCGGGGGGCCGGGGGCAGAGGGGACGCUGCGGCUCUUGGCUCUUGUUCCGCGUGGUGUCUGCAAUAAACAGGUCACCCUGGCUGGCCU